GACGAACGCUGGCGGCGUGCUUAACACAUGCAAGUCGAACGGAAAGGCCCUGCUUUUGUGGGGUGCUCGAGUGGCGAACGGGUGAGUAACACGUGAGUAACCUGCCCUUGACUUUGGGAUAACUUCAGGAAACUGGGGCUAAUACCGGAUAGGAGCUCCUGCUGCAUGGUGGGGGUUGGAAAGUUUCGGCGGUUGGGGAUGGACUCGCGGCUUAUCAGCUUGUUGGUGGGGUAGUGGCUUACCAAGGCUUUGACGGGUAGCCGGCCUGAGAGGGUGACCGGCCACAUUGGGACUGAGAUACCGCCCCGACUCCUACGGGAGGUAGCAGUGGGGAAUAUUGCACCAUGGGCGGAAGCCUGAUGCCGCAACGCCGCGUGCGGGAUGACGGCCUUCGGGUUGUAAACCGCUUUCGCCUGUGACGAAGCGUGAGUGACGGUAAUGGGUAAAGAAGCAACGGCUAACUACGUG
rnacentral:rRNA from 1 species